GACGAACGCUGGCGGCGUGCUUAACACAUGCAAGUCGAACGAUGACGACCGAGCUUGCUCGGUCUGAUUAGUGGCGAACGGGUGAGUAACACGUGAGCAACCUGCCCUUCACUCUGGGAUAACCUCGGGAAAUCGGGGCUAAUACCGGAUAUGAGCUCCUGUUGCAUGGCGGGUGUUGGAAAGUUUUUCGGUGAAGGAUGGGCUCGCGGCCUAUCAGUUUGUUGGUGAGGUAGUGGCUCACCAAGGCGAUGACGGGUAGCCGGCCUGAGAGGGCGACCGGCCACACUGGGACUGAGACACGGCCCAGACUCCUACGGGAGGCAGCAGUGGGGAAUAUUGCACAAUGGGCGAAAGCCUGAUGCAGCGACGCCGCGUGAGGGAUGACGGCCUUCGGGUUGUAAACCUCUUUCAGCAGGGAAGAAGCGAAAGUGACGGUACCUGCAGAAGAAGCGCCGGCUAACUACGUG
rnacentral:rRNA from 1 species